rnacentral:rRNA from 1 species
GAUGAACGCUAGCGGCAGGCUUAACACAUGCAAGUCGAGGGGCAGCAUAAUGGAUGGCAAUAUCUAUGGUGGCGACCGGCGCACGGGUGCGUAACGCGUAUGCAACCUACCUUUAACAGGGGGAUAACACUGAGAAAUUGGUACUAAUACCCCAUAAUAUCAUAGAAGGCAUCUUUUAUGGUUGAAAAUUCCGAUGGUUAGAGAUGGGCAUGCGUUGUAUUAGCUAGUUGGUGGGGUAACGGCUCACCAAGGCGACGAUACAUAGGGGGACUGAGAGGUUAACCCCCCACACUGGUACUGAGACACGGACCAGACUCCUACGGGAGGCAGCAGUGAGGAAUAUUGGUCAAUGGACGCAAGUCUGAACCAGCCAUGCCGCGUGCAGGAUGACGGCUCUAUGAGUUGUAAACUGCUUUUGUACGAGGGUAAACGCAGAUACGUGUAUCUGUCUGAAAGUAUCGUACGAAUAAGGAUCGGCUAACUCCGUG